rnacentral:rRNA from 1 species
AUUGAACGCUGGCGGCAUGCCUUACACAUGCAAGUCGAACGGUAACAGGUCUUCGGAUGCUGACGAGUGGCGAACGGGUGAGUAAUGCAUCGGAACGUGCCCAGUAGUGGGGGAUAGCCCGGCGAAAGCCGGAUUAAUACCGCAUACGACCUGAGGGUGAAAGGGGGGGAUCGCAAGACCUCUCGCUAUGGGAGCGGCCGAUGUCAGAUUAGCUAGUUGGUGGGGUAAAGGCCUACCAAGGCAACGGUCUGUAGUUGGUCUGAGAGGACGACCAGCCACACUGGGACUGAGACACGGCCCAGACUCCUACGGGAGGCAGCAGUGGGGAAUUUUGGACAAUGGGCGCAAGCCUGAUCCAGCAAUGCCGCGUGCAGGAAGAAGGCCUUCGGGUUGUAAACUGCUUUUGUCAGGGAAGAAAUCUUCUGGGUUAAUACCUCGGGAGGAUGACGGUACCUGAAGAAUAAGCACCGGCUAACUACGUGCCAGCCGCCGCCGUAAAAC